rnacentral:lncRNA from 1 species
AUUUGGGUUUCUAUAUGACAUUCUUGUCUAUUGGAUUGCAUCCCAUUGGUCAGAUCUUUUCAACUCUUAACUUUUAAAUUUGUGCUUAGGAUUAGUCUCUUCAUCUCCUCAAUAUGACAUUCUUGUCUAUUGGAUUGCAUCCCAUUGGUCAGAUCUUUUCAACUCUUAACUUUUAAAUUUGUGCUUAGGAUUAGUCUCUUCAUCUCCUCCCCACUUCUUUAAUUUCAAAAUCUCUCCCUCCUUUUUAAAAAAAAAAAUCAUAUUUGCUUGUGUUUUUCUAAACUUAGACUAUAUUGCAAAUUAGAAACUUUGGCCUUAUGCCAUUGCAUUUUCAAACUCAUUUUCUU